GUAACAGAAUGUUGGUGGGAAGGUUCAAACCCUUCUGCCAUAGCACCAACAUCUGCCUCUGAUGUUGUGGGCAAACAUCAAAAAACAAGAGGUAUUACUUUCAGAGCAGCCCUCUUUAAAAAGAUAAAACCAUACUGUUGUGUUUUAUCCAUGUGCACUGAAAAGCAAUGACAGCCAUAAUGCAGUGCCUGGCAGUUUCAGAAUCACGUGGAGAUUUCAGAAGUUAGAUGCUGCCUGAAAAAUGCUCAGAACGUAUCACAUUCAUAAAGAUGUAAAGGUGAUCACUACAGCUUCCAGACUUCUUGUACUGAACUCACCUACACACAGCACUUCACGCAAGGCUCCACAAAAGACUAUUUUUAGGCCUAUGAUUUCCUUGAAAAACAUCAGCCACGCAGGAGAAGCAGCACUGUACUUGAGAUGAAAUCCAACAGCAACGUUCAUGCCAGCAAUUCUAUGGGAAAGCUGUUUUGCAGAACGCAAAUCAUUCAUUCAGCAUUGCUGCCAAUUCUCACUCAGGGCCAGAUUCUGAACGUGACUAAAUAACAGUUACUGCCCUGCAAAACACUGACGCUCAGUAUAGGCGCUCCUGCCUGUACCACUUAUUAAAGGAAAAUAAAAUUGCUGUUACGCUGCUAAGAGAUGUGUUAAUGAAAGAGACUGCAGGUCAUUUGUAGCCAGCAACACUGGCGAGGAAGCAUCGCUAGGACAGCAGCAGACACGUCCCUGGGACAUUAAAAUGCAAGGUAUUAAUAAAAAACGUAAACACUCUGAAAUUCAAACCACAUUUUAUUUUUGGAUCCUUUUUCUCAGCUCGGGGAGAGAAACAGCCAUGUGAAACGUUGGACACACAUCUUUGUAAGAAUGCAGUUUUGUUAAUGGCACGGGAUGUGCUCAGAAAGCAGGACUCACACAGACACUUUCUGUAGCUCCCCCUCAAUGUAAUUAAGUCAUAGGCAUAGCACCCAUUAAUUCAAAUCUUUAGCAAGUUUAUUACACCAAAACUGCGACCCAAUUUUCCCUUCAAUAUGUAUGCAAAUUUCUGAUUAAUUAUGAAGCUUUUCUCAUAUAGGAACAAUUGCCCUGGUUUUGCUUUAUUCCACCUUGGGGGGAGCUUCCUGAACCACCAAUGCUGCCACAAGACCAAGAACUGCAGUGUGUGCUGGAAAGGCACGUAACACAUUAAAACCUCAGCCUCUGGAAACAGCAAACUUCACCACUUGGGGAAGGAUGGGGAGGGGGAAAUCAGAGCACCUUUCCUCGUGCAUUUCCUGACAGUGCUCUCAGUACACACUAACCUGACGUUCAGGCUUCGUGAUUUGAUGAAAUGGUUGACAGGCAAAACCAAGAUUUGCUCUGUCAGGAUGAGGUUUUGUUUUCAGUCUACAGUAACACCAACAAUGUCUCUUCAAACUGAUAACACACCUAUAUGUGAAAAGUUGCAUUUCCAAAAGUUGCAUUUCUUUUUUCUGUCAACAUACCCUGCAUUUGUGUACAAAAUGUCUCUUAUACGACAUACUAAGAUCCCCUUGGCUGGCAGAUGCUGCACAUAAAUUCAGAAUUUCAAAGCCAGCUAAAUAGAACAUUUGUUUAUAAGUUACUUCCCCCAGCAGCAGUACGGAAUGCUGUAUUUGUGAAGUUUCUUGCCUCUGACAGCCUUGAGAUACCUUGCAGACAGUAAAUCACAUUCACAAGUCCUGCCAGUCUUAAUUCCCACUGCAUUUUCUGCCUCUACCAUUGCAGCCCAAAAUGCACAUCUUAGAUUCAUCUUAUCUGAAACAUAGAGGAAAGGGGUGGGAAAAAAACCCCCAAAAUGGAGGCCUACGUGGAGUCCGUUAGCUGCCCAGCGUCCCUCAAGUCAGUGGAAAUGGAAUUUUCAUUUCCUCUGAGUCAUGCGAUUCUAUCAAGAUAUUACUAAGAAUUACCCACACUCAGAUCUACCCGGAUCACCUUUCAAGCAGCCUUCACAAUUCACACUUCUACUUCUGAAAAUGAAUUAAUAUUUGUUCGCCGAUCUUCCCAAAGAACCGACUGUACAAAUGAGGGGCUGAUUUUUAUUAUUUAUUUACACUCUAUCAGGGGCUCCAGAACUGACUCCAAGGUCUCCUAAAGCUGAAGUUUAACUCAGUAUUAACAGUGUUUAUAAAACAAGAACACAUUUUAAUUUCUCAGAACAGAUCGUGCUUAGUUCUACUACACUCCCUUUUUAGUCUUUGCCAUACUCCAUUAUGUGACUAAAGAAUGGCUUUCUAAAAGCUAAACAGCUAACUAUCUGAUAAAGCCUUCCUUCAGCCUUUUGUCUGUGCAGAAACCAGUCACAGGAUCAGCACAAAGACGCAAAGCACUCUUUAAAAUGGGUAUUCAGGCUCACAAGUAUAUCAUGUACUUACUGUAACUUUAACACAGUUAAACAUAAAAAAAAACACAGAGGGGUUUUCCAAACCCUGGAAAGUCAGCUCUGUUACAGUGUGAAACCACGGCUGCCCAUCAGGCCAACGCACUGACAGCAAAUCCAGGGCACGGCGUUUACUUUCUGUUGCAAGCGUGCAUAUCCACAUCGACUGCCCUGCAGCUCUUUCUGUUCCUGCUGCUCUUGGGAGCAAGCAGGAGACUGGGGGGGAAAAGUCUUUCUUAAAUCAAUGAUAAAGAUUUCUGUGACAUUUCAGCUGGUUUAUUUUGUAAGAGAUGCAGAAAAGCAGGCAAAGUUUCAGGCACGACAUAAAUAAAACAAGCAAACAUUUGAUCUGCUGGUAUUUACGGUACCCUGCAAACACGGACCGUCUGUGAAACCAAAGCUGCCACAUUCUCCCUCAAAGCGCAGUUAAAAUUAAAAUUGAGGCAUGAGUAGACUUUUGUUCUGUUUUUAAAGCUACGUGGGUAUUUUCUAUCAUUUGCAGAGCUGGGAGUUCUGCUAACGCGGUCACAGAAGACGUCACAGAUGUGCUCCUGGGUCACUUAAAACGUUCAGAAAGGCACUACUCCUGCUAAACAAAACUAGAUAUGGAAAUGAAAGAAAAUAAAAGUGCAUCAAAACCCUUGGGUUACUUUAACUACUCCGCAGAAAUUAAGGAAUAAUUGGAGACAAGCACACUUGGACAGCACUGUAACAAACACGACUGGUAGAACUACGAGAGCUCGGCACCACGUGUCCAAACCCCUCAGAGGCACUGUUCUGGUACCUAAAUUCUGCAUGCCAGUUCUCAGACAGGAGGACAGCACCCAAAGCCACGUUUAUAUCACGCACGAACUUGGACACGCGGUGUAAGACUCGAACAGCUAUAAACCCAAUAGCAAUUUGCUAUGAAAAUUUCCCCCCUAAGCUGCAGAUCUGUUUUAUCUCCAGCUGGAAGCCAACCGCUCGCUGUGACCUCCUGGCAGCGGCGGAGGCCGAGCGGGUGAGGCUGAGGCCUGCCCGUGUGCACGUGGCCGGCCGUGCCGCGUUCCAGCCGCUUGGAGGCGGAGGGGCACCAUGGCUCUCGUUUUGUAGCAAAUAAUGAGAAAGCUGAAAAGUAUGACUCCAUAUAUUUGGAAUCAUCUUGUGGUAAUCAAGGUUACAGUUCCUUAUAUGGCAUGGAGAACAUGAAGCACGCAUUAAAAAAUAGAAUAUUAAAACUAUGGAGUAUAAAGAAGCGCAACUGAUGCAAAAACCCCUGAACAAACCCAACCACCCAACCCGCGGAGCCCCGUGUUUCUGUGCCGCCAUGAAACACAAACCUUGCUGGUGGCGCGCCCUGCUUCCCAAACUGCUUAAUUAGCAGCGCACAGCUCUCCCGAGGCCGUGAGGCAUGAAUGGAUUUUGGGCAAGCAGGGCUGGAUGCAAACCCUCCUUUCAAAAAUCGCUAGUGACUGAAAAGCACAAACGGGGAAAAGGCAGGAGAAAAGGAAAAUCUAUUUAAAGAAAUGGUGGUUGUCUCUUUUUUCUCCCUGCCUGUCUAAAGUUAGUCUGGCUCAGAGGAUGCACUAACUUUCCCAAUCAGUUUUACAUUACAGUACGAGGCCAGAAAUAGCUCCCAGCCGCCUUGGCCUCCAGCAUGGUUGCCAUGACAAUGGAACCACAGCUCUAUAAAUAGCUCGGCAGCACCAAAUCUUGUGAGACACAUCUGGAAGGGGGCCAGCCCGGCCCCAGCUCUGCAAAUAAAAAUAGGCACAGGCACUUUCAAAGGCUGGAAAGCCUAUAGCAAAGCCAUACCACUUCUGAAACGGUAACAAUGAAGCGUUUUGCCCAUGAGAUCGUUAAAGUAAGGAAAAACAGAAGGAAAAAGUAAUCUACAAAAUUCUCCCCGCUAACGAUCACUGUGGAUUUUUAGCUUCGG